rnacentral:rRNA from 1 species
GACGAACGCUGGCGGCGUGCUUAACACAUGCAAGUCGAACGGAAAGGCCCUGCUUUUGUGGGGUGCUCGAGUGGCGAACGGGUGAGUAACACGUGAGUAACCUGCCCUUGACUUUGGGAUAACUUCAGGAAACUGGGGCUAAUACCGGAUAGGAGCUCCUGCUGCAUGGUGGGGGUUGGAAAGUUUCGGCGGUUGGGGAUGGACUCGCGGCUUAUCAGCUUGUUUGUGGGGUAGUGGCUUACCAAGGCUUUGACGGGUAGCCGGCCUGAGAGGGUUACCGGCCACAUUGGGACUGAGAUACGGCGCAGACUCCUACGGGAGGCAGCAGUGGGAAAUAUUGCACAAUGGGCGGAAGCCAGAUGCAGAAACGCCGCGUGCGGGAUAACGGCCUUCGGGUGGUAAACCGCUGUCGCCUGUGACGAAGCGUGAGUGACGGUAAUGGGUAAAGAAGCACCGGCUAACUACGUG